rnacentral:lncRNA from 1 species
AACAAACUCUGCAGCUCAUACCUCCUUAGUUGGUCUUACAUCUGCUCCCUCCUUAGUUCAGAUCCUCCUCGCUCCUGGCAUAGACGCUUCAUUCAAUGUUUAUCCACUUCACUAAUAUUUAUUGCAGACCUCCAUUGUACCAUCUGCUGUUCUCGGCACUGAGGGUCAUCCCCAACAAAGUCCCUGCUCUGAUGGAGUUUACACCCAAGAACGUUGUGGGUGUGGGUGUGGGUGGGAGUGGGAGAGAGGGCUGGAUGGGGAGAGGAGAAGAUAGAUGAUAGACAAUUCACUAUGCGUGACUCAGGAGGUGUCAAGCGCUAGAGAGCAAACCGGGGGCGCUCAGCAGUGUGAAGGUGGGUCUCACCUUUGAGAAAGAAGGUUCUCUGAUAGGAAGACAUUUGAGACCUGAAGGAAGUGAGGGAGGCAAUCGUGCAGGUACCUGGAGAAGAGUAUUACAGGCAGAGGGAAAUGGCAAGCACAAAAGCCCGGGGCAGGAAAGCGACUGGUGUAUUUGAAGCUCAAGAGGAAAGCCUGCGCAGCUGGAGCAGAGAGAGCAAGCGGGAGCCUGGAGGCAGCUGAAGAUGACCACGGAGAGGCCGAGGAUCCCCCUGGCUGUUUUGAGAACAGACUGACAGGAAGCAAAGGUGGAAGCAGGAAGCCCAGGUAGGGAUGCUCUUACUAUAAUUCAGGCGAGUGAUGAUGUGGUUUGCACCAGGGUGGAAAUGGUGGAGGUGGUAG